GAGGUGAACCACUAUACUUCGCUUGUGUCAUCCUCUCUCUCUCUCUUUCUCUCUAAAGCUAACUAGAUCCCACGGAUCCAAAUGUUAACAAGCAUAGUGGAUCGGCUUUCUUCCUCUUUCUAUAUUAUUUUCUAAAAAAAUCCGAUCCCCAUCUAAGAAAAAGAUAGUUUGAUAUCAUAUCUUUACUUGAUCUCUUAUCUCGAUAUUAUGCUCAAAUCGUUUAGGAUCUUAAAUUGUUUUUGAUCCUGUUGUUUGUUGUGGAAUAGAUGUGUGGGUUUAGGAAAAUAUUUGCGAGAUCUGGGUUUUACAGAAUCUUUGUGAGUAGAAAUCGGAGGUGGAGGUGAAAGAGAGCUAUCCUGGGUUUCAGCACACGAAAAAAUUGAAACACGUAUAGUUUUGCUUCUUAUUUCAUCUAAGCUUAGAAGGAGCGAGCCAAGAGGACAAGUAUUGAUGUGUGGACUUGCUUUGAUUAUCAGCCUCAGCAAAAGAGCGUUGAAUGUUGGUUUUCCAGAGAGUACAACUUCGAAAAGAAAGGAGCAAAACAAAAUAGUAGCAGCUACAUUUUUCUUUUCUUAUUGUGUUGCUGUAUUAUGUUUUUUGUUCUUCCCUUGUAAAUAUUUACUGGGAGAGGUAUUGGCGUUCAUCCUCCGCUCCCUCCCUGUAUCAUUAUUUCUCGAAUAAAUUGGAUAUUUUGAUGAUU